GAUGAACGCUGACAGAAUGCUUAACACAUGCAAGUCGACUCGAGUCUUCGGACUUGGGUGGCGCACGGGCGAGUAACGCGUAAAGAACUUGCCUCUUAGACCGGGACAACAUCUGGAAACGGAUGCUAAUACCGGAUAUUAUGGUUUUUUCGCAUGGAGGAAUCAUGAAAGCUGGAUGCGCUAAGAGAGAGCUUUGCGUCCCAUUAGCUAGUUGGUGAGGUAACGGCCCACCAAGGCAAUGAUGGGUAGCCGGCCUGAGAGGGUGAACGGCCACAAGGGGACUGAGACACGGCCCUUACUCCUACGGGAGGCAGCAGUGGGGAAUAUUGGACAAUGGACCGCAAGUCUGAUCCAGCAAUUCUGUGUGCACGAUGACGUUUUUCGGAAUGUAAAGUGCUUUCAGUCGGGAAGAAGUCAGUGACGGUACCGACAGAAGAAGCGACGGCUAAAUACGUGCCAGCAGCCGCGGUAAUACGUAUGUCGCAAGCGUUAUCCGGAUUUAUUGGGCGUAAAGCGCGUCUAGGCGGCAAGGAAAGUCUGAUGUGAAAAUGCGGAGCUCAACUCCGUAUGGCGUUGGAAACUGCCUUACUAGAGUACUGGAGAGGUAGGCGGAACUACAAGUGUAGAGGUGAAAUUCGUAGAUAUUUGUAGGAAUGCCGAUGGGUGAAGCCAGCCUAUUGUACAGAUACUGACGCUGAAGCGCGAAAGCGUGGGUAUCAAACAGGAUUAAAUUCCCUUGUAGUCCAAUGGUGAUGUUCUACUGUGGAUAUCAAGGCUUAUGAUGCCGUCUACCUCGAGGGGGAAACACACAAUCCAUGAUUUUGUGUCCUUUGAUGAGGUUUUGUUAGCUGUGCUGUGCUCCCCUUUUUAUUUGUCUGUGUGUGCUCUUUCUUGUUUGUUGUGUGUGUGGGGUGCUGCCUGUGUGCUGCCUGUGUGUGUUUCUGUG
rnacentral:rRNA from 1 species